AGCGCCGCCGCAGCCCGCUCGGGCCGCUCCAUCCCGCCGCUGCCGGACACGAUCCCGCCGCGCCUCACCCGCUCCGCUGGCCCCACCCGGCCGCGCCGCGCCGCACCGGAAGCGCGAGCCGCUGCCUCCCCCAAUGGGAAGCGGAGACGUCACGCUCAGGGAAGAGACGAGAGGCGACUGAACGGCGUGCUGUGGGGCACAGGAAAAUAAUAUCCAACGAUAACAUCACUGAGUACCUGCACACUUGAUCAAAGGAUGGGAUGCAGGGUUUUUUGGUAGGCUCCAUGUCACCUGAAAAAAUAGCAUUUCCUGUGUGAAUACCGGGGAAAGGAGGCAUUAGAGAUCUGCAAAGCCAGGGAUUGCAGCCUUCAGCAUUAAGCAGCCACUGCUGUUCCCUACAAAGCAUGCGGUGAUCAUUGCAGCUACAGGGAAAGAGAAAAGAACUGACAGUGAAUUAGACAGUACUAGUGAUAAGACUAUAGAAGACUUGCUGUGCUGCAUAAAACUCCUGUGAUGAUGACAUGGGAGAUAUCUGCAGACUGAUUCCACUUUUGGCCCAGGAACUGUCUGAAAAGCCAAAGGGAAAAAGGCCAGUAUAUAUGAAAGUGUGCUGACUAGAGUGGCAGAAAGCUGUACCUACACUUGAUCUCAGUCACUGCAACAAGAAAGGAGUCCUUGCCAUAAGAUGCGCCAUUAUUAGAAAAGCUAGCAGGAUUCUUUACUGGAUUUUUCCCCCAACACCCGAGGGGUGUUUCCUUCCAGGACAACAUUGACAGCACUGAUGAAUGAGCGCGCUGAGAAGAUGCUAUUAAUCUGUAUCAUACUUACCUUGAGAACCAAGGCUUUCUUUCAAAGACUGUCAAUUCAGUAAGACUCACCAACACAUUCACAUAAAAAGAAAGAAAAGGAUACAGCAGGAACGAAGGAAAAGGAGGUUUCAAGAUUUUGCCCUAUUCUGUCUUUUUGAACUUCUCAGUCAUAUCAAGGUAAACAGACAAAAAUAGAUGGAAAAGGAAGAAGCAAGUCUGGGUGUCUCAGUAGGAUACAAACUUGCCUUGUGGCCUUUAUAAAGUGGUAAUAAAAGCAUGGAAAAAUCUUCUUUCCAGCCUAUCUCACAGACCUUAGAAGAUUAAAUUAAGUGGUUAGAAAAAGAGCCUUCAGUGUAGUAAUAAGACACCGUCAUUCACUUCAUUCUAUUCCCUGCACCUUCAGUCUACAGGUAGCUUCCUUACAGGUCUGAUUACAACAAGUUUCUUUGCCAGAAGCAUUAAAUUUACUUUCUGUUGGCCUCUGUAUAGAACAGAGUAAUAACAUUGCCCUUUCUGUCUACAGCUUUUGACGUGCAGGUUUCAAAACACUUUACUACCUGUAGGAAUUAUGCUGUACUAGGGAUAUAUAGAUACCACCUCCAGGUACUAAUGAAGGAAUUAAAGCCUGGAGGGCUAAUUACACACAGAACUGAGAACAAGAAUCCAGGCAUCGAAGGCAAUAUUUUUGGCCUUGAAAGAGUUAGCCUGAGUGAAAUAAGCAAAAGAGGAAUUCCUCAGGGAUCUGUAUAAUAAUAAAAUCUGCCUUGAGGAUGCCGAUGCAGUUUUCGUACAGCAGCAGAAUCCUGCAGCACACUAAGGAUGAACCUAGGCCUAACACAAGUAGUCUCCAGCCUCAAUCUUGAUAAGUCAAGCAGGUGUCAACAAGAACAACCUGUCAUAGAACCAGUUUGUCUUGGAGGACAAAUUGAGCCUGAGUCAGUAGUGCACCCUUGUGGCAAUUAAGGCUGAUUGCACGUUGGCCUACAUGACUAAAAGCUACUUAAAGGGGGCUUGCAAAGAAUGGAGCCAGAUUCUUCUCCAGGGUGCAUAACAAGAUUACGGAAAGCAUGUUAAAAAUUACAGCAGUGCAGAUUGUGAUUAGAUAAAAGGUGAAAAAAAAUCACAAUGAGAACAGCUGAGCACUGGAUCAAGUGCACUGAAAGUAAUCUCUGUCCUUGGAGAUGUGCAGAAUUCACCUCAACAAAGCUCUCAGCAACCUCAUCUAACUCUUAAUCUGGCCCUGCUUUAAAGCAGAGAGGACGGACCAAAGACCUCCAUAAGUCCCAUCCAACCUGACAUCUUUCUAUGACUCUACUAAGUGACCUGAAAAUCUAAUAUCAAUUUCAGUUUUUGAAAUAAUUUGCCUAAUGAAAUUAUUCCAUACCUUGCAAAGGUCAAUAUUCACUUCCUGUACACCAGUAAAUAGAAGCCACACUUCAGGCCUGAAGUGGCUGUAUUUCAGUCACUCAUCUAACGUUUAUGAUGUAUGUUGAGGAGGAACUGAUGCUGCAGAAGUAUAACAUUUCUAUCAAAGGCUAUGGCAAUAUGGAUUCUUUCCCACAAGGGAUGGUCUGUUUGGUUAAGAUGCCAUGAAACCACUGGUUCUUCUGUUCUAAUCUCCAUGUAUCACUGCAUCUCAUCCUUUAACUGAUGUGUUUGUCCUCCUGCACUUAAAAGAAAGCACGCCAACAAAACUACAACAAGAAGAACAAACCAACAUCACAAACAUUAAAUUACGCUGAGGUAAGCCAAAGUAGAUUUUUCAGAUGGGGCAAGAAAGAUAAAAUGAAGGAUGCCUGAAUCAGAAGAAACAAGGCUGUAAUCAUUUUUCUUGAAAUCAGGGGCACCUACCUGGGUACCCACUGAGGCCAUAGGCUUUCCACCGGCUAACCGGCUGCAGUCCUGCCCUGCAGGCAUCUUGGUCGCUGACGGAAGAAAUACUGAGCUGCGAUCUGAACACCUGGUAAAAGAAAGCAGAUCUGUUAAAGGGAGGAGAAAGAAGAAAUGGAUACAAAGCUCAUUCAAAAAGAGCGCCUGUAGAGUGCUGCCAUAUUCCAUUAAAAUAAAGGGAACCUUGUGAAAACAGGGGAACUAUUGUCUGAACAACUGUGACCAGAACAGGACAUACAGAGCUGCUAACAGAGCCUACAGUUUUUACAAAACUUAGGAAUCGGGAGAGAUGUCCUUCAUUCAUAAAGGAUGAUUUGUAUUAAGAAAAAUAAGAAAUGCACUGUUUGUCCAUUUCCACAUUACAGCUCAAUCUGUAAAAACCAUUCUGCUGAAUAUCAAUCUCCAUGAGAGAGCAAUACGUAGUCCCCAUAACACCUUACACCUUCAAAGCAUUUUCCAAACAUCACAGUUGUUGCUCAGAAUUCCAUAGGGUAGAUGACUGUUCUUACCUGUAAUUACAUGAGAAAAGGGACAGUGAUGAAGUUGCCAAAACUGUCUGAUGUAAAGGACUGCAAAAACCCUAUAAAUGCUGAAUACCACAUUGUUACCACAAGGGCAAGGAGCACAAGGCUCAGCAAGAUGUAUUUUCUCAGUGUACUACACUGGAUUGCAGUAAUACCUGUUUCAGCUGUAAUAAGCCCACACUGUUACUGAAAGAAACGUAUCCACCACAUUCUCACUGCCUUUCUUACCCAGGACUGGGAACUUUCCUGGGGAGGACAGAGUAGAGGUACAUUGGUUUUGUUGCAGCUCAGUUCCCCAGUCCUGCUCUCCAUACAGCUGUGCAGAAAUACAGCUUUAUGUUAGGAAUUGGGGAAAUAAGCAGGGGGAGGUAGACAAGACUUUGUUUGUACCACUUUAAAGCAUACAUGAAAUUAAGGCUCAAGAGUGAGCGCUCCCAUUCUGCAGUGGCAAAUGAGCUAUAAAUUGGUCUCUAUGGGCUGAGAAGACGACUCUAAACUAACGCUGGGGGCAGUUUCUGGCAACACGCUCAGUUUUACCAACUUCUCAAUUCUGCCAAAAGCAGCUCUGUAACUGCCAGCCUUGAAGAGCUUUAUUCUGAGUCCUGUCUGCAGAACACACCCAGGAGGGAAAUGCCUUUGACUGAGCCUUUACUGCUUUUCCGUCUUUUCCAACUGCUGACACACCGGCUGCUGCCAGGGCUUCCCAAGAACGAGACCUGCUCCUACACUGAAAGACUGUAUGUGCUGAACUAGCAAAAUAUGCCUCGUAGCAGAGCAGCUGGGGAUGUCACACUUCACUGGAGGUCUCCAUCACUUGAAGCACUUUUCUGAGAGAAAAAGAACAACAGUAUCUGACCCAAUCUAGUUGGCCUGCAGUUCUUUAAGGGAAAAAACUGUAUACUUUUAACCUGGGGGAGGGAAGAGGAAUCAAAGACUCUUUCACUAAAAAGCUAUCAGCUAAUCCCAGAAGGUAAGAGGCACAAGAGAAGGACACGGAGAGAGGACAGAUGCUUGUGAUGCUUUCAAGGACUGUAGUGCCAGAGUCCUUUAUUUGAGAAAGGAUUGCUGCAAGCUCAGGAAAGGCUGAAGCGUUAACAACUACCGCGCUCAAUGCUAAUGCCUGAACAAUUUCUUACAGGUCAGGUUUUGUGUCUAGUUGACAGUAUCAAAAUUACUGUCUGAAGAUAGAAAUGUACACACUAUAAUACAACAAUAAAAAUAAAAGGCUAAGUAUUGGGAAUAUGAAAAA